AGGAUGAAGUUCUGGAUAUUUUGGGGAUUGCUGGUAACUUUUGUCUCCAUAAGGGAGACAGAAUUUCAAUGCAAAAAAUGGCCAUUCGACAACUUCUGCCAAAAUUACGCAGAGAAUCAGACUUUCAGGCAGGAAUGCAACGACACGAGUCAAGAUGGUGAGCAGAACAGUAAAUUUAUGUUUAGUUAUUAUUAGUAUAAAGUAUGAUGGUUAUGACUUUCACCUUUCUUUAUUAACUGUGUUGCUGAUUGACCCGAGGUCAGCCUAAAG